UACGAAGGGGGCUAGCGUUGUUCGGAAUUACUGGGCGUAAAGCGCACGUAGGCGGACUAUUAAGUCAGGGGUGAAAUCCUGGAGCUCAACUCCAGAACUGCCUUUGAUACUGAUGGUCUCGAGUCCGGAAGAGGUGAGUGGAAUUCCGAGUGUAGAGGUGAAAUUCGUAGAUAUUCGGAGGAACACCAGUGGCGAAGGCGGCUCACUGGUCCGGUACUGACGCUGAGGUGCGAAAGCGUGGGGAGCAAACAGGAUUAGAAACC
rnacentral:rRNA from 1 species